AUGGACCACGACAAUAUGUAACAG
rnacentral:siRNA from 1 species